UCCUGGGUGGCACAAAGGAUCAAAGUAUUCAGCUGCUAACUGAAAGGUUGAGGUUUGAGUCCACCACAGGAG
rnacentral:tRNA from 1 species